rnacentral:ncRNA from 2 species
GCCCGCGACACGGGGUGCCCCGCACCGGGGCUGAGAUGAGACCCGUCGAACCUGAUCUGGCUCGUACCAGCGAAGGGAUGUCCGCGCGAUGACGC